CCCGGUUUAAGCGUGUAGGCUGGUUUUCCAGGCAAAUCCGGAAAAUCAAGGCUGAGGCGUGACGACGAGGCACUACGGUGCUGAAGCAACAAAUGCCCUGCUUCCAGGAAAAGCCUCUAAGCAUCAGGUAACAUCAAAUCGUACCCCAAACCGACACAGGUGGUCAGGUAGAGAAUACCAAGGCGCUUGAGAGAACUCGGGUGAAGGAACUAGGCAAAAUGGUGCCGUAACUUCGGGAGAAGGCACGCUGACACGUAGGUGAAGUGAUUUACUCAUGGAGCUGAAGUCAGUCGAA
rnacentral:rRNA from 1 species